rnacentral:rRNA from 1 species
UACGGAGGGUGCAAGCGUUAGUCGGAAUAACUGGGCGUAAAGGGUGCGUAGGCGGGCUUAUAAGUUAUGUGUGAAAUUACGGGGCUUAACCCUGUAGCUGCAUAUAAGACUGUAAGUCUAGAGGAAUGGUGGGGAAAGCGGAAUUCCACAUGUAGCGGUGAAAUGCGUAGAUAUGUGGAAGAACACCUGUGGCGAAAGCGGCUUUCUAACCUAAUCCAGACGCUGAGGCACGAAAGCAAGGGGAUCAAACAGG